AGCUUAAAAUUUUGAAUUAAUUCAAUCUUUUUAAGAAAUCAAAGCAGAAUGAAUGCCCAGUGAUUAGAUUGCAUGAACAGGGAGCAGAGCCUACCACAUCAUAACUUGUGUAAAUUUUUUAUGACAUAAUUUUUAAUGUCCGUGAUCUUUGGACUGAAACCGCUAAAAUCACCGACGCAGCGUCGCGAACUAAAGGACUAACCUGCCUAACAGGAACUUAGUGGGUCGUUUGGACGGAAAGGAAUCACAUCAUUUUUCGGAAAAAGUUACACAAUGCUAUACAGUCUUCAGUAAGGCUAGAGGUCUUGUUACGUGACUGGUCCGAGCACCUCUGAUUCGCCUGGGUUCUAUGUUUCCACGCCUGACUCUCACGUCUUCUCUACUAAUGUUCUAGUUUUCUUUCUCUUUCUCGUUCUCCUUGUUGUCUUUCUUUUCCUACUUUCUUCGGAAGCCCGAGCUGCUUUCAUUUUGUACCGCUUAGUUUAUUUCUUUAAUGAAUGAAGUAGGUAUCUUGCUACCUAAUUCUUAAAAAAGAUAUAAUUUUUAAUGUCUAGAUUUUAUCCACUUCUCCUUUAGGAGAGUAAAUUGCACAUACUCAAAAAGAAAAAGAAAAAAAAAAGAAAGGAGCUCAAGACAUCAUUCUUAACAAACUAUCAGCAUUGAAGAGACAAAAGGGGUUUAUAUACAUCAAGUGCUUUUGCAUCAAAGGAAAGAGAAGGAAAGAGAAGGAAAGAGUGACAAAUUUUAGGCAGAGGAGGAAAUGUUAGGAAAAGUAAAAAAAGAAGGGAAAAAAAAAAAAGAAAAAGAAAAAAAGAAAAAAAGAAAAAGGAGAAUGAGUUCCGCUUCUCCAGCUAUAUUUGGUUAACAAGAAACACAAGUCACCUAUGCCACCCUGUUUCUGAACAAACCCAACAUUCCAAAAUAGGAAAAGCCAGCCCACAUCUGCGCACAGAUCCGCGAUCUUCCUCCCCCUCUCAAGUCACUUUAACAGAUAUAAAUUAUUAUUGAUAGAACAGAUACAUUAAAUACUAAUUUAUUAAUAUAUCUGCAUUAUCAAUAAUAAUUUCAGCUCUAUUAAUUUUACUGUCUGUUUUUUCUCUUUCGCUCAAUUUACUUCUUCUCGAACUGUCCGAGCCUGUUAUCAGCUAGCCUUGAAUUGUACGCAGCUUUCUUGUACUCACCCCAUGUGAACUCCUUGUACAGGCUCUGCUCCCCCUCUCUCAUGAGCUGCGGCAGCGGCGCGAUCCUCUGCGACAAGGGCGGCCCUCCGAAGAAGAUCAUGGAGACCCGGGACUUCAGUCCGUCGGCCAAGACCCUGUGCCUCACGCUCCGGAACCGUCCGUUCGUCAUAACCUGCGAGCCAUCACGGUAAAAUUUUAUAACAGUCCACUCAUUCGAGAAGUAAAAGUCAAACGUUAUAUGAAAAUAUCUUUUAAGUUUGGAAUUAUACAUGUACCUGCAGUGCGUCACCAACAUUGAUGAAGAAGGAGUCGCGGUCGGAGGGGACGGCGACCCACCGGCCGUCCCGGAGCGCGAUCUGGAGGCCGGCGGUGUUGUUGGACCGCAGCAGCGAAAGGAUCUGGGGGUCGGUGUGCUCGCCGAAGCCGGUGAGGCUGCAGCCGAAGCCGUUGAGCAGGGGGCACGGCGGGUAGUGGUUCACCCUAAAAAACUGAUCGCUGUCCUCGUCGGUUAUCAGCCGGCUGAACGCAUUCCUCGGCUCGAUUUUCAGCCCCUCCGCCAUUCGCUCCAGCACGUCGCACGCCAGCUUCUCGACCGCCGCCACGUACUCGCCCAACGCCGACCUGCAGCCGCACGCCAAAUAUCUCCCUCGUCAGUUGCGCGACGGCUGCAAAUUAAUAAUAUAUAUCUACACAAAGCAUGUCGGAAUAUAUUGCAUGCCGCCGCUCACCGGAACGCGAGGGAGGAGGAUUCCCGGAGGAAGGCAAUGGAGGAGGGGCUGCCGGCCGAGGCGCUGCCGAUCGCGAGGAGGAGGUACUCCAGCCAGCCGACGUCGCCGUUCGCGCGGGCCCGACUGCUCCUUCUCGGCCGGCGGUAAGGCGAAGAACUCCACCGCCACGGCCUCCAGCCGGUCGAUGAGCUCCGCGGCGAUCCCGUGAUUGGUGACCUUGAAGAACCCGAACUCCUCGCAGGCGCCGACGACCGCCUCGGCAGAGCCGGGCGCCGCGAGGUCCACGACGGGGAUCGCCGAGAAGUAAGGGGUCGGCUUCGGGGACCGGACGACGGAUAUCUGGUCGGCGCCGGGCUCGGCUAAGACCACCAUGGCUUUCUUAGCAGGAGAAUUGGAGAUGGAAGGGAGGGGAGGAGAGCACUACAAGAUGUUGCUGAUCUUGUUGUAUUGGGUGUAAGAGAGAAAUGCAUGUGAGGAGAGGGGGGGGUGUAUUUGAAGGUAUAUAUAAAGAGAGAGAGAGAGAGAGGGCCACAUGUCUAAAAGGUCCUGGUGGGUUGUUGCAUGGGAACAGAGUUUUGAAUAACAGAGUAAGGGGAUUAAAACUCCUUAGUAACAGGGUGUGUCUCAAUUCUCAAUUACCUUUCUGUGUUAGUACCUUACUUUUUUCUUUUUUUUUUUACUGUAUCAAAUAAAUCAAGAUAAAUUUUACUUAAAAUUUUGGAGCUGAAUUCAAAAACUAUCUAACAUUUUGAACUUACUGGAAUUAGAGGUAAAAGGUUGGGUAAAAAUUGAUGCAAAUUUUACCUUAUGUAAUACCAAUUAUUGGGCUGCAAAAAGGAUGCCGGCGUGCAUAUAACAUGUAAGUGUCGCUUUUUUCGUCAAUUUGAUCUUUCGUAUUCAUCUUUUGGAUUAGUUCAGAUCCUUCUUAAUAUCUGCGAUAGAUAAUACUUUUUGUGGGCACUCUCAUGAUCUUAUAAAAUAUUGAAGAUGUACUCGCAUACCCGUGUGAUACCUUAUGAUUUGUUUAGAUUGUAAUUCGACAGCUCACGCCUGUCCUGCUUAUCAGAGAGUUUUUGUUGCAUAUAUAUAUAUAUAAAGAGAGAAAGACAAUAGGAAAAAUCUUACAUUUUAACAUGAGUUUUUGUUAAGAAGCAUUGAAUGGGAGUUCAAUUUUGGGAUCUCAUCCUUGCCACGUGAACAGCAAAGAUUGGUGGGUUCCGAACAGCAUAAAACAUCUUCACAGGUGUGUCCCCUUAGAUAAAAGUAAGAAAUAAAAAGAAAACUUUAUUUUCCUUUUUUUUUUAUUUUUAAUUGUACAUUUUUGUAUCAACUGUAGAAUCUUAACAAGUGGUGAUAGUAUUUAUGAACUUCGACCAGCUUCGAACAUAAAAUUCUUUGCUCCAUAAUAAUAUUACCAACGUGGAUUGUGUGCGCUACGAGUAGGUUUAGCACAUAUAUGUUUACUUCUAACUGUAGUUAGUGUGAAUUGCAUCUGGGUUGGAUCUACUGAUCCAGUAAAGAGAGGGUUUUGACUAUUUUUUUGCCUUGGUUUUUGGGUGUUGACUAAGCUCACUAUUGACUCUAUGGGCUUAAAUAGUCCACAGUAAUCUUCAAAUCCUUGAGUCCAAUGGUUGUGCUUUGACUUUUUCAACUACUGUCAAAGUCUCAUCACAGUUUCUAGGGAUUGGGGCCACUGCUGUUUUCCCAAACCUAGCUAAAAUUACACUAAAUUGAUUCAAACUACAUACAAUGUAGAUUUUGUUAGGAUUUAAUCAAAUUUUUUAUAGUUGUUUAAAAUUUAAAAUCAAUUCUUAUAUACUAGGGUAAAAAAAAAACUACUCCUGUAAAGAAGAAAAGUUGAACGUAUUCUUAUCUCGGUCAAUGAAUUUUGUACGACUUAUACUAUUAUUGUUUUCUUUUUAAAUAUAUUUUGCUGUAGAUAAAAGCUGACGAUAAAAACUCACAUUAAGACUUUUCUCGUGAAUUCUUAAUAACAAUGGAUAUAUGUCAAAAUAGAUUAGUAAUCGCACUCACGCACACGCAUCUAUUUAUGAAUUUGAGUGAGAAAAAUGGUUGUGGUGAUUCAUUAAUGAGGUGGCGUAUAUAACUUGCAUGUUUCUUAAAGUAGAUAAACUCAAACCUAGAAGAUUGAUAAAAACUAUGGUUAAUUAUAUAUUUAUUUUUGCACUUAGUUAAUUGUGGGGGCUACUAUAAAAGUAGUAUGGAGAAAAUCGCCCAACACAUAGCCCUAGUCUUCACUUUAACAAUGUGAUAUAUAAAUAUAAAUAUAAUUAAUGUUCAAUACUUUAAAAUCCGAGGACGGCGAUAAACUAUAAAUUAAAGAGGGUUAAAAUCGAUCCACUGGUUGAACAAGUAAACCAACAUUAAUUAUAUUAUAAUUUUUUUUAAUAUUAAGUAAAUAUUAAAAAGCCGAAUGAGGUUACCGUCAAGCGCGUUUAUCUUAGAACAUAGCUAAACUAUGGCGGGGCGAAUUAUUUAGUAAAAGGAAAUGAAUUUGAAAACAAUUAAGCAAAUAGUAUCAAUUUUCGAGCGAGAACCAACGAUUUCAUUUGAUAAACCGCCGACUCACUGCAAUCAAACUCAGGUUGUGACUCAUCGAAACUUAAGUUCCUGCUAGGGCUCAAUCUGUCUCUAGCUCGAGUGGUUGAACUGGUUUAUGCAACAUUAGCAAUGUUGUAAUUUCGAGUUAUCGACGUUGCAAAUUGCGUGCAUUAAUUCUAAAAAGAUAACUACAGAAAAAGGCGUAUUUGAUCCUAAUAGAGAGUAAUUUAUCAAAGUACCAUUUGAAUUGACCUGUUUAAGAAAACCUUUCUAAUAAGUAAAGCUAUUUCAGAAGUCAAAUUAGAUAAAUAUUGUACAACAAUAAUAAACUUUUAGGCGCUUUAAUAAAGUUGUCAAAAUGAAACAUCCAACCUCCACAAAACCUUACUUUUCUCCUCUUCCAACAUUUCAUUUAAAUUUUCAUUUUUAUUUUUUUCCUUUACCCUCACCUUUGCAUAUAUAUGAUUCUUAAAAUUAUAUUUAAUUAGUCAAUUUCACAAGUGAAAUAGAUCCAUUCAUAGCACAAAAUAGAUAACUUUUGACUCUUCUAUUGAUACACCUCACCUUUCUAUUAUGGGCUGGAACUUUUUCCCUCCUUUUCCCAUCAGGUUACUUUCAUCCAAAGUGAAAUACCACAAUUGCCCCUGCCUACACCACCAAACCAAACUCUUUUAACUAGAGAUGUUCAUCAGUACCUGAAAAAGCAGAAUAUCGAAUUACACUGGAUGGUAUUUAUUGUUUCUAAUAUUUGAGCUCGAAAUUUUUUUGCUAGAACCAAAAUAUCAGCUAGCACUACAACAAAAAUGGUAUAUAGCGACAUUUUUAAAUAUAGGUACAUGUCAAAAAAGUGCUGCUAGCUAAAAUUACUGACACUUUUAAAAAGUGUUGCUAUAUGUGGGGUCGCUAGGUAUAUAGUGACAGUUAAAGAGUGUCGCUAUAACCUAAAAGAGUGCUGCUAAUUUACCAACACUUAUUUAAGUAUUUAGCAACCGUCGAAAUUCUAUCUCGUUGGCUGCGAUGGCGGAGGAGGACGACAGGAAAGCCGCUUCGUCCAGAAUUUCAGUGGAUUGAAUGAAAAGAGAAGAAAAGAUGGUAAUUGAUUUUUCUUUUUUUUCUGUUUGUAAUCGGGUCAAAUGGACUGCGCGUGGUGGGUUGAGUAGAGUAAUCUUUUAUUUUUAGUUGGAUUGGGCUUUAUAUUUAGGCAUAAGUAGAUGUUUUUUAAAUUUUUAGUUUAAAUGGGACACUUACUCAAAAGUGUCCCAAACAUGUGUCCCUAUAACCUAAUUCUGUUGUAGUGUAGAACGAUAGUAUUCCAGUUUAUAAGUUGGACUAUUAUAUUAGGAUGAGAGAAUGAUAUUUUUAAUUUUUUAUAUUCAGAUCCCUCUCUUAUUCAGACUUGAUAUAUUUUAAUGGAUUAAUUAAAAAUAAAAUAAAAUAAAAUAAAAGGUUCUGAAAAAUUGAUUCACACC
rnacentral:lncRNA from 1 species